CAAGCGAACCCUAAAUCCUUUCCACAACUCAUCCACAUAUUCCAGCUCACCUUGGGCCAAAUUGGCAUUGGUUCAAUGUGAUUUCACUUUCGCAGUGGUUGCCUCGCCAUUUCGGGCAAUGCAUUGAUGGAAGCUUGUCUGUUUCUAUUCUUCCAGCCAUGUUCAAACGGUAAAAUCCCUUUCUCUUGGGUUUUUCCCUUUUAUUUUUUGAUUUUUCUUCAUCUUCUAAGACAAGAUUCAAAUUUGAAAAUCCAGAUUUCAAAUAACCAGCUUCAAAUCCGAAUCCCAUGGUCCCACUUUGUUGAAUUUUGUUGAAACCCUAAGAUUUGAAAUCCCCUAUUCUCAUUCUCAAAAAAAGGGUUCACACCCCCAAAAUCUCUGAAUUUUGGAUUACACAACUUCUAAGUUGAAAUCUUGAGUUUUCGGAAUAGUUCAAAUUUUAAUCUUUUGUUUUCUUUGUGCUUGAGUUUUGUUGGUGAAAGGAAAGCAUUCUCGCUCUCAUCGCCUCAGUCGCUACACUACUAACAGAUUUUGGAUGAAACGGGAAGUGAACUUGGAAAGGCGUAAAAAGCAUAAAAGGUACACCCAGAUGAGUUAAAGUUAUUACAGAAGAUGUUCCAGCAGAGUUGGCAGGCUCCAUUUGCUCCCGGAGUGUUGCCGAGUCAGAGUUUGUAUAUGUAUGUUAUGAAUUUUGGAUUUAUGUUAGAGACUUUGCAGACAGAGUCGUGGGUAUUGGUUAUCAGUCUGUAAGCGGCUCCAUCAGCCGAUAUGUCAUUCUGUGUUAUGUAGUAAAUUUUAUAUAAUUACGGACUUUGCCUAAAAUUGAGAACGAUAAAAGAUGGAUUUCGAAAGCUUAAUAUGUAUUUUACUUUUAUCUGAUUUUCAGCAUCUGAAGAAAUUAUGUGUGUAAUAAGAAUCUGUGGGUUCGCUCGGCUCCGGAUAUGGGGUCGGGUGCCCAUCACACCCUAGUGGAAUUGGGGUGUGAUAGUAGAAAUUCCAAAAGAGAUGGAUUUUUGAAUCAAGAAUUAAGCUCCAAGAAUUUUUUCUUUCUUUUCUUUCUUUUCUUUCUCUCUAGCCGAAAUGCUUUCUUUUUUUUUCUCUUGGUUUUUUGUUCUUGUUCUCUCUUGAAGCUUCUAUGUGGCUAAGUAUGAAUAUAUAGCCCUCUUAAUUAAUUAGCCACAUGAUCAUUUUCCUUGGGUUGGGCCAAGGCAUGUUGGCCGGCCACCCUUACAAAUUGGGCCUUAAUUUUCUUAUUUUUUUUUUAGCCCAAUUGGCUACAAAUUGUUUUUGUAAUUUCCGAAACCAAUUUCCAAAAUUCC